CGAGUAACACGUAUGCAACCUGCCUGCCACAGCCGGAUAAUCGGGAGAAAUUCCGUCUAAUACGGCAUAAUGCAUCGACGGGACAUCCUGUUGGUGCCAAAGGUUGAUUCCGGUGGCGGAUGGGCAUGCGUCGCAUUAGUUAGUUGGCGGUGUAACGGACCACCAAGACGACGAUGCGUAGGGGUUCUGAGAGGAAGGUCCCCCACACUGGUACUGAGACACGGACCAGGCUCCUACGGAAGGCAGCAG
rnacentral:rRNA from 1 species